UUAAAAAAUCGGCAUGCAAAUGCCUUGCUUUACUGUUUUGAUGGCACAGUGUCUUUAAACAGACCAGGGCUCCCAAAGCAGAUUUGCAAAAACCUCUUGUGCAACAUUGAACUAUUUUUUACUUUACUUUACUUUAUUUUAUGUCUAACAAUAUUCUAUGAAUAUAAAAAA
rnacentral:misc_RNA from 1 species